AUUGAACGCUGGCGGCAGGCCUAACACAUGCAAGUCGAGCGGAUGAAGGGAGCUUGCUCCUGGAUUCAGCGGCGGACGGGUGAGUAAUGCCUAGGAAUCUGCCUGUUAGUGGGGGAUAACGUCCGGAAACGGGCGCUAAUACCGCAUACGUCCUGAGGGAGAAAGUGGGGGAUCUUCGGACCUCACGCUAUCAGAUGAGCCUAGGUCUGAUUAGCUAGUUGGUGGGGUAAAGGCCUACCAAGGCGACGAUCCGUAACUGGUCUGAGAGGAUGAUCAGUCACACUGGAACUGAGACACGGUCCAGACUCCUAAGGGAGGCAGCAGUGGGGAAUAUUGGACAAUGGGCGAAAGCCUGAUCCAGCCAUGCCGCGUGUGUGAAGAAGGUCUUCGGAUUGUAAAGCACUUUAAGUUGGGAGGAAGGGCAGUAAGUUAAUACCUUGCUGUUUUGACGUUACCAACAGAAUAAGCACCGGCUAACUUCGUG
rnacentral:rRNA from 1 species